GGUUAAGUUAAUAAGGGCGCACGGUGGAUGCCUUGGCACUAGAAGCCGAUGAAGGACGUGACUAACGACGAAAUGCUUUGGGGAGUUGUAAGUAAACAUUGAUCCAGAGAUGUCCGAAUGGGGGAACCCGGCAUGUAAUGCAUGUCACUCAUUACUGUUAAGGUAAUGAAGAGGAAGACGCAGUGAACUGAAACAUCUAAGUAGCUGCAGGAAGAGAAAGCAAAUGCGAUUGCCUUAGUAGCGGCGAGCGAAAUGGCAAGAGGGCAAACCGAUGUGUUUACACAUCGGGGUUGUAGGACUGCGACGUGGGACGACAAGAUUAUAGAAGAAUUACCUGGGAAGAACCCUAAAUACUCUCUAGUGACCGAUAGUGAACCAGUACCGUGAGGGAAAGGUGAAAAGCACCCCGGGAGGGGAGUGAAAUAGAACCUGAAACCGUGUGCCUACAACAAGUUCGAGCCCGUUAAUGGGUGAGAGCGUGCCUUUUGUAGAAUGAACCGGCGAGUUACGAUAUGAUGCGAGGUUAAGUUGAAGAGACGGAGCCGUAGGGAAACCGAGUCUUAAUAGGGCGCAUUAGUAUCAUGUCGUAGACCCGAAACCAUGUGACCUACCCAUGAGCAGGGUGAAGGUGAGGUAAAACUCACUGGAGGCCCGAACCAGGGCACGUUGAAAAGUGCUUGGAUGACUUGUGGGUAGCGGAGAAAUUCCAAACGAACUUGGAGAUAGCUGGUUCUCUCCGAAAUAGCUUUAGGGCUAGCGUCGA
rnacentral:rRNA from 1 species